rnacentral:pre_miRNA from 1 species
CAUCAUUCCGGGCGGUAUUGGGUAGAAAUCGAUUCUAAUACUGCCUGGUAAUGAUGAU